GAGUUUGAUCCUGGCUCAGGAUGAACGCUGGCGGCGUGCUUAACACAUGCAAGUCGAACGAAGCACUUUAUUUGAUUUCCUUCGGGACUGAUUAUUUUGUGACUGAGUGGCGGACGGGUGAGUAACGCGUGGGUAACCUGCCUUGUACAGGGGGAUAACAGUUGGAAACGGCUGCUAAUACCGCAUAAGCGCACAGCAUCGCAUGAUGCAGUGUGAAAAACUCCGGUGGUAUAAGAUGGACCCGCGUUGGAUUAGCUGGUUGGCAGGGCAGCGGCCUACCAAGGCGACGAUCCAUAGCCGGCCUGAGAGGGUGAACGGCCACAUUGGGACUGAGACACGGCCCAGACUCCUACGGGAGGCAGCAGUGGGGAAUAUUGCACAAUGGGGGAAACCCUGAUGCAGCGACGCCGCGUGAAGGAAGAAGUAUCUCGGUAUGUAAACUUCUAUCAGCAGGGAAGAUAAUGACGGUACCUGACUAAGAAGCCCCGGCUAACUACGUGCCAGCCGCCGCGGUAAUAC
rnacentral:rRNA from 1 species